GCCUAUGGCUCAGUGGCAGGGUCUCUGCUUGGCCUGCCGAAGGUGCCAGGUUCGAUCCCCGGCAUCUACA
rnacentral:tRNA from 1 species